GGAAUGUAGUUCAGUUGGUAGAGUGCUUGCCUCACAUACACAAGUCCCUGGGUUCAGUCUCCAGCACCA
rnacentral:tRNA from 1 species